AUGGACGCGGCACUCUCCGGCGACCGCCCGACUCCUCCCUCUCCCGUGAGCGUGACUCCAUCUACGCCAAUCUGUUAUGUGUCGCUUGGCCAUGGACUUCUCGCCAUGAGCGCCUCCUUUUGCCAUGCCCGCAAUGUAGCCAUGGUCGGGACCGCCACCGCACGGUGGAGACAGCAACGAAGGUCUAGGAUGGGAGGCACGAGAGCUGCGGCGGUGGAGGCGCCGGCGGAGGUCGAGGAGGACUGCUCGGGGAAGUGUGCAGGGUGCUUGCCGGAAUACCUACGCCACCGAUGGGCGCCACAACUCUCCCCGGUGGGUUCAAAUUUGUCGUCUACUCCAGCGGCAUCACCGCUGCCGCGCUUUACCAAGUCACGGCAUCACCGCCCUUGA
rnacentral:rRNA from 1 species